rnacentral:ncRNA from 1 species
UCCUCGCACUCUGGAGAGCGGCAACGGCACGCACGAAGCCAGUUGCCCACCGAAGGGGCGCGCGAUGGACCCGCAAGCACACGCUCGCGAAUCCGCGCAAUCUCUCAGGUACCGAGGACAGAGGGGUCACG